rnacentral:rRNA from 1 species
CCUACGGGAGGCAGCAGUGAGGAAUAUUGGUCAAUGGCCGAGAGUCUGAACCAGCCAAGUAGCGUGAAGGAUGACUGCCCUAUGGGUUGUAAACUUCUUUUAUAUGGGAAUAAAAUGUUCCACGUGUGGGAUUUUGUAUGUACCAUAUGAAUAAGGAUCGGCUAACUCCGUGCCAGCAGCCGCGGUAAUACGUAGGUGGCAAGCGUUGUCCGGAUUUACUGGGUGUAAAGGGCGGGUAGCCGGGAAGACAAGUCAGAUGUGAAAUCCGGAGGCUCAACCUCCGAAUUGCAUUUGAAACUGUUGUUCUUGAGUACUGGAGAGGCAGACGGAAUUCCUGGUGUAGCGGUGAAAUGCGUAGAUAUAAGGAGGAACACCAGUGGCGAAGGCAGUCUGCUGGACAGCAACUGACGGUGAGGCGCGAAAGCGUGGGUAGCGAACAGGAUUAGAUACCCGAGUAGUC